UACAAUGUAUUCGUCUUAUUUGAAUUUUUUUACGAUUAAUAUUUUUAUUCUUACUAGAUGAUAAAACAUGAAUAGUACUUUAUGCGCGACUAUUUUUUUAAGUAUUUUAUAAUUUUUUUAAAUAAACGAAUGGUCAAACGUUGGACACAGAAAAAC
rnacentral:pre_miRNA from 1 species